UAGCCAUAUCACAUUGAAACAGCGGUUCCCGUACGAGUAACGAAGUUAAGCAACGUCGAACCUGGUCAGUACCUAGGUGGGUGACCACUUGGGAAUUCUAGGUGGUGUAA